ensembl:snoRNA
GAUCAAUGGUGUAAUGAUUCUGCCCAAUGAGAUAGAAUGAUAUCAUUUGUAAAACUAUUCCAUUUUGAUUCUGAGGUU